UUCCCCAGCACAGUGGAAAUCCUCCCCAGCUCUCCAAGACCGGCUGCUGGAUACCGAACUCUGGGGCCCCAACAUAAGGACGUGGAAAGAGCCAGUUUAUCUCUGCCUCUUACAUCCAAUACAGCUGAGUCUCUGAUGGGCACUUAUCUGACCCAAGAUAACUGUAAGCAGAACAUGAACUCUGCUUCUGUCUCUGAUGACCCCUGUUGUCACCCCUGACCAUGAGGAUGUCUACAGAGGAAAUUCUCACUCUUUCCUGCUUGAGCUGUUCUGCUUUGUAUGGAAUCGACUGGGCCUGAGAUGACACCGAAGUGCCUGUCUUCAUACUAAUCUGGGUUACAUAUCUUUAAUUACUAAUACUUAUGUCACUCUUGUAUUAAGUACUUACAAGUGACUGCAUAUGCAUGUAUUUUAAUGGUCUUAAUGCACCUCUCUGGUUGCCUGGGAUAUGUUUUACUUAUGUUAAAUCAGGUAAGAAAUUACAACACACCCUGGCACUGAAGCAGUAUUUCUAAGGCCACUGAAAACAGGACCUGUGUGUUUGAAGACAAGUAAUUUGGAAUAGCAUGUUUAAACAAAACACAGGGAACUGGAGAGAGCAAACAAACCAGUUUAGGAAAAGUCCUAUAGAACUCUAUCAGGUCACGUGGGAUAUUAGAGAAGUAUCUGUGAGCACCCAUUGUUUUGUGCAAAUUUACACUGUGAGGUUGUGAUACUUAUGCUCAAAUAAAUAACAACUUAUUUUCUGUUUGGUCCUGCUUCUCUCUUACUUAGAGUUGAAUAGAUGGAAGUGGGUACUUUAAGUUCUGAGUAUUUUCAAGAUUACUCUUAGCUGUAAGUGAGUAAAUCUCUUUUCUACUGAGUCUACCACCAUAGCACCUCCUUUUAUGUGGUGACAGUAAAAACCAGCACCAAGUUUUAACCAUGCGUGCCCUCAGUUCACACAUCACAAUAUGUGUCUAAGGUGGAUACUUCACUUAUAAUCCUGUUGUAGCUUGUUGUUGCAGGUGGGAAGCACCCAGGAUCUUGUCAAGGUCCUGAUUUUGUGGAUCUUGCCAGCUUAGGCCUCUAAUUGUUUGCCCAUACACCUAAAUGGAUGAGAUAUUUUAUACUGAAGCAAGGCCUGGAAUGCAGGGACAGUUUAGGUGUCAGCUAAGCCUGUUUCAGUUUGUGAAUAAAAGCUUUAGAAGUGGCUGAAGCAGCAGGUAAGCAGGACUGCUGUCCUUUCAUGGCUAUAGUCCUUGAGCAUCUUUUUGUUUAAUACAUAAUGCAUGUUUCAGCAUGGAAGCAAGGUAUUCACUGCUGCUUUUUGUACAGUCAA